rnacentral:rRNA from 1 species
UACAGGGGGUGCAAACGUUGCUCGGAAUCAUUGGGCGUAAAGCGCACGUAGGCGGUCUGUCAUGUCGGAUGUGAAAGCCCUUGGCUUAACUGAGGAAGUGCAUCCGAAACUGGCAGGCUAGAGUACUAAAGAGGGUCGCGGAAUUCCCGGUGUAGAGGUGAAAUUCGUAGAUAUCGGGAGGAACACCGGUGGCGAAGGCGGCGACCUGGGUAGAUACUGACGCUGAGGUGCGAAAGCGUGGGGAGCAAACAGG